rnacentral:rRNA from 1 species
AAUGAACGCUGGCGGCAGGCCUAAAACAUGCAAGUCGAACGCCCUAGCAAUAGGGAGUGGCGCACGGGUGAGUAACAUGUGGGAAUAUGCCUUUUGGUACGGAACAACGUUUGGAAACGAACGCUAAUACCGUAUGGUCCCUCUGGGGUAAAGAUUUAUCGCCAAAAGAUUAGCCCGCACUAGAUUAGCUAGUUGGUAAGGUAAUGGCUUACCAAGGCGACGAUCUAUAGCUGUUCUGAGAGGAAGAUCAGCCACACUGGGACUGAGACACGGCCCAGACUCCUACGGGAGGCAGCAGUUAGGAAUAUUGGACAAUGGGCGCAAGCCUGAUCCAGCCAUGCCGCGUGAGUGAUGAAGGCCAUCGGGUUGUAAAGCUCUUUAGCCGACGAAUAUAAUGACUGUAGUCGGAGAAUAAGCCCCGGCUAACUUCGUGCCAGCCGCCGCCGUAACAC